GAUCAUGGCUCAGGAUGAACGCUAGCGGCAGGCUUAACACAUGCAAGUCGAGGGGUAUAGUAGCAAUACUAGAGACCGGCGCACGGGUGCGUAACGCGUAUGCAAUCUACCUUUCACAGAGGGAUAGCCCAGAGAAAUUUGGAUUAAUACCUCAUAGUAUUAUGAAAUGGCAUCAUUUUAUAAUUAAAGUCACAACGGUGAAAGAUGAGCAUGCGUCCCAUUAGCUAGUUGGUAUGGUAACGGCAUACCAAGGCUACGAUGGGUAGGGGUCCUGAGAGGGAGAUCCCCCACACUGGUCUGAGACACGGACCAGACUCCUACGGGAGGCAGCAGUGAGGAAUAUUGGACAAUGGGCGCAAGCCUGAUCCAGCCAUGCCGCGUGCAGGAUGACGGUCCUAUGGAUUGUAA
rnacentral:rRNA from 1 species